rnacentral:rRNA from 1 species
GGGUAUAAAGAGUGCGCAGGCGGUUCUGUAAGUCAGAUGUGAAAUCCCCGGGCUUAACCUGGGAACUGCGUUUGAAACUGCAGAGCUAGAGUGCGGCAGAGGGAGGUGGAAUUCCAUGUGUAGCAGUGAAAUGCGUAGAGAUAUGGAAGAACAUCGAUGGCGAAGGCAACCUCCUGGGCUAGCACUGACGCUCAUGCACGAAAAGCGUGGGGGAGCAAAACAGGAUUAGAUACCCUGGUAGUCCACGCCCUAAACUAAUGUCAACUAAGUUGUCGGGUCUUAAUAGACUUGGUAACGUAGCUAACGCGUGAAAGUUGACCGCCUGGGGAGUACGGUCGCAAAGAUUAAAAACU